rnacentral:rRNA from 1 species
CCUGGUGAUUAUUGUGAGGGGGAAACACCCGUUCCCAUUCCGAACACGGAAGUUAAGCCCCUCAACGCCGAUGGUACUGCCUUCGCGGUGGGAGAGUAGGUCGUCGCCAGGC